GUCCACGCCCUAAACGAUGUCUAUUAGUUGUUGGGUUUUAAUUAACUUAGUAACGAAGCUAACGCGCGAAAUAGACCGCCUGGGGAGUACGGCCGCAAGGUUAAAACUCAAAGGAAUUGACGGGGACCCGCACAAGCGGUGGAUGAUGUGGAUUAAUUCGAUGCAACGCGAAAAACCUUACCUACACUUGACAUGUCAGGAACUUUCCAGAGAUGGAUUGGUGCCCGAAAGGGAACCUGAACACAGGUGCUGCAUGGCUGUCGU
rnacentral:rRNA from 1 species